AUACGGAGGGUGCAAGCGUUACUCGGAAUCACUGGGCGUAAAGCGCGCGCAGGCGGCUAUUUAAGUUGGAUGUGAAAGCCUACGGCUCAACCGUAGAACUGCAUCCAAAACUAUUUAGCUAGAGUGUGGGAGAGGAAGAUGGAAUUAGUUGUGUAGGGGUAAAAUCCGUAGAGAUAACUAGGAAUACCAAAAGCGAAGGCAAUCUUCUGGAACACUUCUGACGCUGAGGCGCGAAAGCGUGGGGAGCAAACAGGAGUAGAAACCCCAGUAGUCC
rnacentral:rRNA from 1 species